AACGAACGCUGGCGGCAUGCCUAACACAUGCAAGUCGAACGAGACCUUCGGGUCUAGUGGCGCACGGGUGCGUAACGCGUGGGAACCUGCCCUUAGGUUCGGAAUAACUCCCCGAAAGGGGUGCUAAUACCGGAUAAUGUCUUCGGACCAAAGAUUUAUCGCCUUCGGAUGGGCCCGCGUUGGAUUAGCUAGUUGGUAGGGUAAAAGCCUACCAAGGCGACGAUCCAUAGCUGGUCUGAGAGGAUGAUCAGCCACACUGGGACUGAGACACGGCCCAGACUCCUACGGGAGGCAGCAGUGGGGAAUAUUGGACAAUGGGCGAAAGCCUGAUCCAGCAAUGCCGCGUGAGUGAUGAGGGCCUUAGGGUUGUAAAGCUCUUUUACCCGGGAUGAUAAUGACAGUACCGGGAGAAUAAGCUCCGGCUAACUCCGUG
rnacentral:rRNA from 1 species